UACAGAGGUGGCAAGCGUUGUUCGGAUUUACUGGGCGUAAAGGGUGCGUAGGCGGUUUGGUGUGUCGGAUGUGAAAUCCUGCUGCUCAACAGCAGAGCGGCAUCCGAAACUACUGAUCUAGAGUGCAGGAGAGGAAGGUGGAAUUCUCGGUGUAGCGGUGAAAUGCGUAGAUAUCGAGAGGAACACCCGUGGCGAAGGCGACCUUCUGGACUGCUACUGACGCUGAGGCACGAAGGCUGGGGGAG
rnacentral:rRNA from 1 species